GAUGAACGCUGGCGGCGUGCCUAAUACAUGCAAGUCGAGCGAACAGAUGAGGAGCUUGCUCCUCUGACGUUAGCGGCGGACGGGUGAGUAACACGUGUAUAACCUACCUAUAAGACUGGGAUAACUUCGGGAAACCGGAGCUAAUACCGGAUAAUAUAUUGAACCGCAUGGUUCAAUAGUGAAAGACGGUUUUGCUGUCACUUAUAGAUGGAUCCGCGCCGCAUUAGCUAGUUGGUAAGGUAACGGCUUACCAAGGCAACGAUGCGUAGCCGACCUGAGAGGGGGAUCGGCAACACUGGAACUGAGACACGGUCCAGACUCCUACGGGAGGCAGCAGUAGGGAAUAUUGCGCAAUGGGCGAAAGCCUGACGGAGCAACGCCGCGUGAGUGAUGAAGGUCUUCGGAUCGUAAAACUCUGUUAUUAGGGAAGAAAAAAUGUGUAAGUAACUAUGCACGUCUUGACGGUACCUAAUCAGAAAGCAACGGCUAACUACGCG
rnacentral:rRNA from 1 species